CUGGCAGAAAAGUCUGGACAAGCAACUGCUACGAUCAAGUUUUAUGAAGUGAAACAUCCCAGAGUCUGACUCACAGGAGAGGCAAAAAAACAGGAUUGACGAGCAGGUUACUGAAUAUGUACCAAAAGAGUGCAUGAAUGGAUAAGGCUCAGUUCUAAGGGCAUGAGUACAGCCAAAGAAGCCAAGAGAGGUACAUCAAAGCAUGACAGAAACUUACAGUGCCAACCUCAAAGUUGUAGGUUCCAAGGGAAAGUUAUCCCACUGAUGAAAUGUGAAAAUCACCAAAUACUCUCAAAUAACCUAAAAGUGCCUAAAACGAGGUUAAAGAUUGAAUGGGUAUUUACCCACCUGUAGAGGUUUGCGCUAGCAUGACUUUUUAUUUUUUUUUAUUUUCCCCAAAAUGCGCUUUAAAUAGCCUUGCCUCCUGUAGGCCUUUAACAAAGACGUGUUCAGGGACAGUCGUGGAUGCCCCGUGACGAAUCACAAGGUUCAGUAUUGGCUUCGAGUGCGUUCGCUCGCUCAAACAGAGAGCCAGGAAGAAGUACUGCCCAGCCUGCACUUGAACUUUGUGAACUAAUCACAUAGACACUAGGCUACUACAGGGCAUAAACCUAUUUCCAUAAUCAACCACCACAGAGCCAUGCAGCAGCAUUUGACUGAUUAGAUACAACCGUGCAACUCAGCUUAAAAAUUGAAUAUUGCCACAACAGCUUAUUCCCUCGGUUGUUUGCCAGAAGAAGGGGAAAUGGAACCGCAUCCGAUAUACCUCCCCAUCCAUCUUUUUACAAAGCUUUUUUUCUUUGAAAAAGCUAGAAAUAAUUUCGAUAAUGAACUCCGAAUGUUCACGUUAAAGACCUAUGCAGACCUUGAAGGUUAUUUGAAAUCGCCUCUAACACAGGUAUAUAAGGAAUACUCAUAUCUUAUGAAAACAUUGGAUGCAAAAUAUGAAGCGAUCACGCUACUCUCCACAGUGCUUAAAGACAUCCAGUCCGUUCCAAAUGGCAAAAGCCACAACAUUGGCAAGCUGACAAAUAUGAAGAAAAAGAAACAAGGAACGUUGAACUCCGAGAUGCUUAAAUGUGAGCCCAUGUUGCAGAACACGCCGGUGGCUGUCACCAUCCCCAAAGCUGUUCAGGUUAUUGACACAGUAUCGUCCUGCCAGCAGAAGACCGCAUUGCCUGAGACUCCCGAGGUACCUGGGGAGGUUUCUCAACAUAGACGUUUGUCAGCUGUUGACUCCAACACCGUUGUGGGUUCACCUCACAUUGCAGAAUCAAACAAAAUAUCAAAAAAUAAGAUGCCAAAAGAUGUCUUGCCAAAGAAGUCAGAGGUGACCGUUUGUCUGCCUCACUCUCCUAAUGCAAGCAAAGAUGUCGUGCCAAAAAUUGUCACAAUGAAUGAACACAAGCCUCCAGCUGUCCAGGUAACCCAAACGUUUGCUGCUCCAAAGAGUGUCCCUGUGAGACAGACAACCAAGGAGACGCAUCCCAAUCUUAUCCAGAACUUUCCCUCACACCUCAUUGAUGUGGGAUUGGACAUCUGCUCUGAGGUUCAGUACCAAAAGCAAACCUCUUCACAGCUCAUGGCCUUCCUGAAGACCAGCCGUAAAACUCAAUUCAUGACUCUGUUGACCUUCAUCAAGAGCUCCUGUGAAAGAGGCAAAACGUACCCAAUGAUGUUGGCAUCUGGCCAAAUGAACACUGGUUCAGCCACAGAACCAAAGACUGAGGUGACGACAACAAGUCCUCCAAAGGACAAACGAGGUACUGGGCCCCCAGAAGUCAAGGGGCCAAUUUUCCAAGUAAAACAUGUAAAUGACGGCUCAUUGAUUUACAGCUGCAUCGUUGCCACCAGCACUGAGCUGUGGGAUAUCAGCGACAUCUGCACAGGGGUGAGUCAUGCUCCGUCAGAGUCUCAAAGCGUAGUGGGAAGCGGUCCUUCAUCUCUACAGGAGGUCUUGAAUCUUGAAAGUUGCCCUGACCCAGAGAGACCCCUAGCAUCCCAUCAGGUUGAAGGAGUAAGUGUGGAGGAAAGUGGUGACGUUGACGAGGGUUUGAGGAACGAUGCAGGUUCCGCUGUGGCAAUACCUCCGUUUCAGAUUCGCAAGUUUGAGGAGAUGGCCGUGGUGGUGACACACGUAGUGGACCCAGGCCUCUUCUACAUCCAGCACCAGAACUCAAAACUAACACAGCUCUCUUCUGAGAUGGACCUCAACAAAUGCGAUGCCUUUCUUGCUCAGAUAGACAGGGUCCCUGACAUUGGAAGCUACGCUCUUGGUUGGUUUCCCCAGCAACAAGAGUGGUGCCGAGUCCAGGUGGCUAAGAUAUGUGGGGUGAAAGGAGAUGCCUUUCAUUGUUCCACCGAUUAUGGAAGCAUCAAGAACAUUCAGGUAGAAGUGCAGAGAGUUGAUUUUGGAGAUACAGCUUGCCUCUCUCUGAAGGACCUCAGGAAGUUGAGUACAGAGGUGGCAGCCUACCCUGCACAGGCUUUGCAGGUGGCUCUAGCUAAUGUGAGUCCAGCAGAUGGAACGGUCUGGACAGGUCAGGCAGUGAGCUGGUUCAAGAACAAGGUGAACAACAGGACUCUGUACGCCAGGUUGUACCGUCAGGAGAUCAGAGUCACGGUAGAACUAUUUAUGGAGAAGGGCAAGAUCGGAGCCAUGAGAAGAGGAGCCUCACUGUCUUUGAGACUGGCUCAGAAUGGACAUGCCAAGCAUAGCCAGCUGAAGAACAUUGGCCUGAAGAGAAGUCUUGCUCAGGAGCAGUCAAGGAAGGAGGCAGUGGCUUGGGAGAAAUAUCUGAUAUCCUGCUAUGCACAGAACAAGAAAUGAAGUUUCCUGCUGUGAUGUGAUUUAAAAACAUGGAUGAAUAAAGUUCACUGAGGAUCAAAAAUAAGUUACA
ensembl:lncRNA